GACGAACGCUGGCGGCGUGCUUAACACAUGCAAGUCGAACGCUGAAGACCUGGCUUUUGUUGGGUUGGAUGAGUGGCGAACGGGUGAGUAACACGUGAGUAACCUGCCCUCUUCUUUGGGAUAACGCCCGGAAACGGGUGCUAAUACUGGAUAUUCACUGAUCUUCGCAUGGGGGUUGGUGGAAAGGUUUGUUCUGGUGGGGGAUGGGCUCGCGGCCUAUCAGCUUGUUGGUGGGGUGAUGGCCUACCAAGGCUUUGACGGGUAGCCGGCCUGAGAGGGUGACCGGUCACAUUGGGACUGAGAUACGGCCCAGACUCCUACGGGAGGCAGCAGUGGGGAAUAUUGCACAAUGGGCGAAAGCCUGAUGCAGCGACGCCGCGUGAGGGAUGGAGGCCUUCGGGUUGUAAACCUCUUUCGCUCAUGGUCAAGCCGCAACUGUGGGUUGUGGUGAGGGUAGUGGGUAAAGAAGCGCCGGCAACUACGUG
rnacentral:rRNA from 1 species